rnacentral:rRNA from 1 species
UUGCACGCUGGCGGCAUGCUUUACCCAUGCAAGUCGAACGGCAGCGCGGGCUUCGGCCUGGCGGCGAGUGGCGAACGGGUGAGUAAUGCAUCGGAACGUGCCCAGUAGUGGGGGAUAGCCCGGCGAAAGCCGGAUUAAUACCGCAUACGACCUGAGGGUGAAAGCGGGGGACCGAAAGGCCUCGUGCUAUUGGAGCGGCCGAUGUCGGAUUAGCUAGUUGGUGGGGUAAAGGCUUACCAAGGCGACGAUCCGUAGCUGGUCUGAGAGGACGACCAGCCACACUGGGACUGAGACACGGCCCAGACUCCUACGGGAGGCAGCAGUGGGGAAUUUUGGACAAUGGGGGCAACCCUGAUCCAGCCAUGCCGCGUGCGGGAAGAAGGCCUUCGGGUUGUAAACCGCUUUUGUUCGGGAAGAAAUCCUCUGGGCUAAUACCCCGGGGGGAUGACGGUACCGGAAGAAUAAGCACCGGCUAACUACGUG